rnacentral:lncRNA from 1 species
AAAACGAACUGUCUGGUUUACAUACAAAACAAUAAACGAAAAACAAUUAUGAUAUACAGGAACACAUUACAACUAAAGAAAUACAAGCUGUAAUAGCUUCAGUUCGUGGUGUUGUUUGUUUAAGACUUGUAUUUCAAGAGGGGCGAAAUAUACCUGAGAGACAUUCAAACUCAUUAAUUAAAAAUAAACCGUGACAACACCAUGCAUGGCUAAAAAAAAAGACAAACGGACAAUUAAAGAACACUAAACACAACAUAUAGAAAACUAAAAGACUAAGGAACA